CUACGGGCUGCUGCAGUUACGAAAACUUCGCAAUGCACGGAAGUGUGACGAGGGAAUUCUGAGUGCUUACGGUUUAUCCGUAAGCUUUUCAUCAGGGUAAAUACCUGGUGGAAUAAGUGGUGGGCAAGACUGGUGCCAGCCGCCGCGGUAACCCCAGCGCCACAAGUGGGAACCACGUUUAUUGGGUCUAAAGCAUCCGUAGCCGGUCUGGCAAAUGCCCUGUGAAAUCGCAUCGCUUAACGAUGCGGCGGGCAGGGUAGACUACCAGACUAGGGACAAGGAAAGGAAAGCGAUAUUUCUGAGGGAGCGGUAAAAUGUUAUAAUCUCAGAAGGAUCACCAAUGGCGAAGGCAGCUUUCUAGAAUGGAUCCGACGGUGAGGGAUGAAAGCUAGGGGAGCGAUCCGGAUUAGCCCGAGUAGUC
rnacentral:rRNA from 1 species